AUUGAACGCUGGCGGAAUGCUUUACACAUGCAAGUCGAACGGCAGCACGGGGCAACCUGGUGGCGAGUGGCGAACGGGUGAGUAAUACAUCGGAACGUGCCCAAUCGUGGGGGAUAACGUAGCGAAAGUUACGCUAAUACCGCAUGCGAUCUACGGAUGAAAGCGGGGGAUCGCAAGACCUCGCGCGAUUGGAGCGGCCGAUGUCAGAUUAGGUAGUUGGUGGGGUAAAGGCUCACCAAGCCGACGAUCUGUAGCUGGUCUGAGAGGACGACCAGCCACACUGGGACUGAGACACGGCCCAGACUCCUACGGGAGGCAGCAGUGGGGAAUUUUUGGGACAAUGGGCGCAAGCCUGAUCCAGCCAUUCCGCGUGCAGGAUGAAGGCCUCGGGUUGUAAACU
rnacentral:rRNA from 1 species